UGCUUGAGGUUCAAGGCAGUCAGUGUCUCUCUCUUCUGCCUCCAGUCAGCUGGUUAUUUAUCAGAGUCCCAAGAAGUCUUCCUUGCUCAUUGCUCACUGGUAGAGGGGAGAGAUUAUGCAGUGGGCUUUUGAUUGAUUCAAUGGGAAUUACGUUGAUCUGGUGUCUGGCCUUGGUUCUUAUCAAGUGGAUCACCUCUAAGAGGCGUGGAGCUAUUUCCUAUGACAGUUCUGAUCAGACUGCAUUGUACAUUCGUAUGCUAGGAGAUGUACGCGUAAGGAGCCGAGCAGGAUUUGAAUCUGAAAGAAGAGGUUCUCAUCCGUAUAUUGAUUUUCGUAUUUUUCACUCUCAAUCUGAAAUUGAAGUGUCUGUCUCUGCAAGGAAUAUCAGACGGUUACUAAGUUUCCAGCGGUAUCUUAGAUCUUCACGCUUUUUUCGUGGUACUACCGUUUCAAAUUCUCUAAAUAUUUUAGAUGAUGAUUAUAAUGGACAAGCCAAGUGUAUGCUGGAAAAAGUUGGAAAUUGGAAUUUUGAUAUCUUUCUAUUUGAUAGACUAACAAAUGGAAAUAGUCUAGUAAGCUUAACCUUUCAUUUAUUUAGUCUUCAUGGAUUAAUUGAGUACUUCCAUUUAGAUAUGAUGAAACUUCGUAGAUUUUUAGUUAUGAUUCAAGAAGAUUACCACAGUCAAAAUCCCUACCACAAUGCAGUCCAUGCUGCAGACGUUACUCAGGCCAUGCACUGUUACUUAAAAGAACCUAAGCUUGCCAAUUCUGUAACUCCUUGGGAUAUCUUGCUGAGCUUAAUUGCAGCUGCCACUCAUGAUCUGGAUCAUCCAGGUGUUAAUCAACCUUUCCUUAUUAAAACUAACCAUUACUUGGCAACUUUAUACAAGAAUACCUCAGUACUGGAAAAUCACCACUGGAGAUCCGCUGUGGGCUUAUUGAGAGAAUCUGGUUUAUUCUCACAUAUGCCAUUAGAAAGCAGGCAACAAAUGGAGACCCAGAUAGGUGCUUUGAUACUAGCCACAGACAUCAGUCGCCAGAAUGAAUAUCUGUCAUUAUUUAGGUCCCAUUUGGAUAGAGGUGACUUAUGCCUAGAAGACACCAGACAUAGGCAUUUGGUUUUACAGAUGGCUUUGAAAUGUGCUGAUAUUUGUAACCCAUGUCGGACCUGGGAAUUAAGCAAGCAGUGGAGUGAAAAAGUAACAGAGGAAUUCUUUCAUCAAGGUGAUAUAGAAAAAAAGUAUCGUUUGGGUGUGAGUCCACUUUGUGAUCGUCAGACUGAAUCUAUUGCCAACAUCCAGAUUGGUUUUAUGACUUACCUAGUGGAGCCUUUAUUUACAGAAUGGGCCAGGUUUUCAAAUACAAGACUGUCCCAGACAAUGCUCGGACAUGUGGGGCUGAACAAAGCCAGCUGGAAGGGACUGCAGCGAGAACAGUCCAGCAGUGAGGAUGCUAACACGGCGUUUGAGUUGAACUCACAGUUAUUACCUCAGGAAAAUCGAUCAUCAUAAAACCCUCAGAACCAGUGGAAUAGACUGCCUCCUGGAGGUUAUUAGAAAUGUGAAAUGGGGUCUUGAGGUGAGAGAACUUACUCUUGACUGCCAAGGUUUCCAAGUGAAUGAUGCCAGCAUUAUUUAUUUCCAAGACUUCCUCUGUUGGAUCAUUUGAACCCACUUUUUAAUUAUAAGACCUGAACACAUAGCAAUAUGCAUUUGGCUUUUGUGUGAAACCUUGAAUAUGCAAAGCCCAGCAGGAGAGAGUCGAAAAGGAGUAACAAAGGAAGUUUUGAGGUGUGCCACGUGUUUUUCAAAGCAUUUAUUCUUCAAACCAUGAAACUUGAACUGAAUCUUUCAGCAGCAAUCUCUUGGAAUUUAACCAGUCCGAUGCAACAAUGUGUAUCUGUACCUUCCACUAAGUUCUCUCUGAGAAAACAGAAAUGUGAAGUGCCCAGCCUCUGCUGCCUCUUGGCAAGACUUAGUGUUUACAAAUCAACUCGGAAAAUAUUGGUUCUAUAUUGCCUGGGAGCAUGAUUGUGAAGGAACCACUGAAAAAUUUAAAGAUCAAAACUUAGACUGCAGCUCUAUCCCCCUGGUUUGCCUUUUUCCUUCUUUGGAUGCCACCAAAGUCUCCCAUUUGCUGUAGUUUUAUUUUGUGCACUGGAAGCAGCGUUUAUCAUAGAGUUCCGCCAAGCUUUAGCUCCAGUGCUAUUGGGCAAUGCAAUUAUUUUUUUAACUAUUAGUUUUUAAUUUGGGGUGGGAGGGGAAGAAUACCACCAGUGUCCUAGCUGUGUUAUGAUUCUGCAGUGAAGACAUUGCAUGUUGUUUUCACUCUGUACACUUGACCUGGACAUGCAAGAAAAAGGUGGAAUGUUUAAAACACCAUAAUCAGCUCAGGGUAUUUGCCAAUCUGAAAUAAAGUGGGAUGGGGAAGUGUGUCCUUCAGAACAAGGGUACUAAAGUCCCUUUCGCUGCAGUGAGUGAGAGGCAAAUCUUCUUGGGAAGCCAAAUUAUGAUCAGCCGAUGGCUUGGUGAGCAUGGAUUCUGAGCAAGGGAAACAAGUUGCCUCAUGCAUCUAUCUCCCUAUGGGGAUACACCUGCUGAUAUUCAUGUUUGUGGACCAGGGUAUCCCCUCCCCCUGGACGAUGCUAGAGAUUUCUCUGCCAGUCGUUGCUCCUCCACAUCGGCUUCUGAUUGGCACAUCCAUUAGAUACGUCAUCGCCUUCACCCGUGCUUCAGAUGAGCCUCCCUAGGCUCCACUCUGCCUCUGAAUGAUUGCUUACUUCACUGAUCCAUUAUGUCUGUCUUACAGUUUAAUACUAGUGGACUAUCUUCUCAUUUACACAUUCUCAGGGGACACCUUGGUGUUGCUCCCAUUUCCUGCCUACACAUAUGAGGGUUCUUCAAAAAGUUCAUGGAAAGAUAUGUAUUCUCUUUUAUUUUUCCACUAACUCUUUGCAGUAUCAUCAUACAAAAACCUCACUGAAAAGUUAUUUUGUUAUGUAUAUGUGGGAAUCACCUUCCACAGUCCUGGUUCUUAAAUAUGACCCAUAUUCCUUGAACAUUGAUUUUUCUAGAAAAAUCUGAAGAAAUGGUUAAGUAUUUAGAAGAUCACAGUUUUUAAAAAGUAAUUAUGGAACAAUGAAAAUUCACAUGAAUUUUCAAGAUAAAACAGACUUCAAAAAAUUGUUGAGCAUGUAGCAGCCCUUUGGGUCUCUGGACCCAACACUUGGGGGGGCGUCUCUGCUCUAGGGGUAAAGGUCCUUGGAGAGAAAAUUUUGACAAGUCCUAGGUUAAUGAAAAAAGAAAAAAACUAUGGUUCCUGGUCAAUAUUUGUACUCAGCUGUAAAUGCGAUGGUUUAUAAUGAUCCUCUUUGUAUAAAUGAAGUAAAAAUUAUAUUUUAUGUCCUUUGCAAACCUGGAAAAUAUAUUUGUACCUGAGGUACAGAUUAGAGGUGCUAGUAAUUCCUUGAAGAUUCUGAAAAUGGUCUCUUUUUCCAAAAUGCUUUCUUGGCUUUUAAGCUUUCUAAUCUCUUAUAACUUUAAACCUUUCACAUCAGAGAUUUCCAAUGAAUUCAAGCAUGUAUAAAUAUUUAAUGUAUACAUAUUGUUUAAAUUCCCUCCCCAUCAGUAUCUCCUGAUUGAGAAAAUACACAAUGACCAAUAGCUAACAUGAAUUCAGUAUUGCUUUUGAAGAAAUGUGCAUAUUAAUCACCGUAGCAUCAGCAUACAUUGAAACAUAGUAAUAGAGGUAGGUGUAAGAUUUGCUCUGCAGCCAUUACUCGCUCAGGACCUGCAGAUGACUUGUGCAAUUUGGAAGGCUUCCAAGGGUCCACGGUCAGCAGGGGGGAUGACCACUACUUGGAGGUGAGCUGAUGGAAGGCACACAGCAGACAGUCUCCAUCUUCCUGGUUCCUGUGCUCAGCAGAAAGUUGGCAUAAAUUGGGCCAUCAGUAAACACUUGUUGAACAAACUCAUUUGAAAUUAAUGUAUUCCCUUUUUAGCUAUCAGUAUAUGACUAAGAGAAAUUAUAUUGAAACUCAUCUGUGGUGAAGUCAUGUAGUAAACAAUAUCUGAGUUCCUGAUGUGUGCAGAGCAUGGCACUGGAUAUAAUAAAAAGGGUAUUAAAAGUUACAAA